UACGAAGGGUGCAAACGUUGCUCGGAAUCAUUGGGCGUAAAGAGCGUGUAGGCGGCUUUACAGGUCCGUUGUGAAAACUCGAGGCUCAACCUCGAGACGCCGGUGGAAACCGUAAGGCUAGAGUCCGGAAGAGGAGAGUGGAAUUCCUGGUGUAGCGGUGAAAUGCGCAGAUAUCAGGAGGAACACCCGUGGCGAAAGCGGCUCUCUGGGACGGUACUGACGCUGAGACGCGAAAGCGUGGGGAGCAAACAGG
rnacentral:rRNA from 1 species